rnacentral:rRNA from 1 species
UAACGAAUCUUCCGCAAUGCACGAAAGUGUGACGGAGCGACGCCGCGUGUAGGACGAAGCCCUUCGGGGUGUAAACUACUGUCAGGGGAAAGAAAGUUCUGAUCUACCCCAGAGGAAGAGACGGCUAACUCUGUGCCAGCAGCCGCGGUAAGACAGAGGUCUCGAGCGUUAGGCGGAAUCACUGGGCUUAAAGCGUGUGUAGGCGGAUUUGUAAGUACCUUGUGAAAUCCCACGGCUUAACCGUGGAACUGCUUGGUAUACUGCUUAUCUUGGGCCAUCUAGGGGUUACCGGAACAAACGGUGGAGCGGUGAAAUGCGUAGAUAUCGUUUGGAACGCCAAUGGUGAAAACAGGUAACUGGGGAUGUGCCGACGCUGAGACACGAAAGCCAGGGGAGCGAACGGGAUUAGAUACCCCCGUAGUCC